rnacentral:rRNA from 1 species
AUGAACGCUGGCGGCUUGCCUAAUACAUGCAAGUCGCGCGAACAGACGAGGAGCUUGCUCCUCUGACGUUAGCGGCGGACGGGUGAGUAACACGUGGAUAACCUACCUAUAAGACUGGGAUAACUUCGGGAAACCGGAGCUAAUACCGGAUAAUAUAUUGAACCGCAUGGUUCAAUAGUGAAAGACGGUUUUGCUGUCACUUAUAGAUGGAUCCGCGCCGCAUUAGCUAGUUGGUAAGGUAACGGCUUACCAAGGCAACGAUGCGUAGCCGACCUGAGAGGGUGAUCGGCCACACUGGAACUGAGACACGGUCCAGACUCCUACGGGAGGCAGCAGUAGGGAAUCUUCCGCAAUGGGCGAAAGCCUGACGGAGCAACGCCGCGUGAGUGAUGAAGGUCUUCGGAUCGUAAAACUCUGUUAUUAGGGAAGAACAAAUGUGUAAGUAACUAUGCACGUCUUGACGGUACCUAAUCAGAAAGCCACGGCUAACUACGUG